UUAAACAAAGAGUUGAGGGCAUGGUUAAAGUAAAUGGUAACAAGACCAAAUACUAAGGAAAAAUGGGAUCGGACUUUAUUAACACCCUGUAUUUACAAAUUAUAUCACUUUUUGUAGAGAAGAUUAGUUUAAUAAUUAUUUAAGUUUCCGAAUCAAAUAAGAACAUUGCUGUGUAAAUUUUCUAUAUUUAGGCAAUCUCCUUAUUAUGCAAUUUUUGGUAAAGUUAGCGUAAUUUUGCAAGUUAUUCUUGUUGCACCCAAAUGAGCCAUAAGGAGUACAUUUGUUAUAUAUAAAUAAGCUAAACAAUAGUUUGCGAUGUACAAGGAGACUACCUAAAUUCACUUUAACAUACAUAUUUACAUAAUAUUUACAGUAUGCACUAAUUACCAUAAACCUUUUAUGUAAAUUGCGGGUUCUGCCCUGGUGCUACAUUUAUACAUGUUUACUAUGUUUAACUAAAUCGGAACCAUUUUUGGAUAAGAACGAUUUAUUAUUAGUUUGUUGUGUAUUUAUUUAGAUUACCCACAUGCGUUUAAUUGGACCUUGUAUGUACAUAUGUAAAUACUUGUUGUCUCAUAAAAUACUUAUAAAUUUCCUGAAUAAAAGAUAAACAAUAAUGAAUCACAA